GAGGAAUAUUGGUCAAUGGACGCAAGUCUGAACCAGCCAUGCCGCGUGAAGGAUGAAGGCCUUCUGGGUUGUAAACUUCUUUUAUUGGGGAAGAAAAUUACGGUUUCUACUGUAACCGACGGUACCCAAGGAAUAAGCACCGGCUAACUCCGUGCCAGCAGCCGCGGUAAUACGGAGGGUGCAAGCGUUAUCCGGAUUCACUGGGUUUAAAGGGUGUGUAGGCGGGCUGUUAAGUCAGUGGUGAAAUCUCCGGGCUCAACCCGGAAACUGCCAUUGAUACUAUCAGUCUUGAAUAUCGUUGAGGUUGGCGGAAUAUAUCAUGUAGCGGUGAAAUGCUUAGAUAUGAUAUAGAACACCGAUUGCGAAGGCAGCUAACUAAGCGAUGAUUGACGCUGAGGCACGAAAGCGUGGGGAUCAAAC
rnacentral:rRNA from 1 species